GAUGAACGCUGGCGGCGUGCCUAAUACAUGCAAGUCGAGCGAACAGACGAGGAGCUUGCUCCUCUGACGUUAGCGGCGGACGGGUGAGUAACACGUGGAUAACCUACCUAUAAGACUGGGAUAACUUCGGGAAACCGGCGCUAAUACCGGAUAAUAUAUUGAACCGCAUGGUUCAAUAGUGAAAGACGGUUUUGCUGUCACUUAUAGAUGGAUCCGCGCCGAAUUAGCUAGUUGGUAAGGUAACGGCUUACCAAGGCAACGAUGCGUAGCCGACCUGAGAGGGUGAUCGGCCACACUGGAACUGAGACACGGUCCAGACUCCUACGGGAGGCAGCAGUAGGGAAUCUUCCGCAAUGGGCGAAAGCCUGACGGAGCAACGCCGCGUGAGUGAUGAAGGUCUUCGGAUCGUAAAACUCUGUUAUUAGGGAAGAACAAAUGUGUAAGUAACUAUGCACGUCUUGACGGUACCUAAUCAGAAAGCCACGGCUAACUACGUG
rnacentral:rRNA from 1 species